CGUGGUUUGGUAUGACUUCCAUUUUCACCGAACUUGCACAUAUUUUGGUUAUGGGAUUACUGAAGCCCUCUUACGGGUUCCUGAUUUUCUCGCUGUGUUGAUUAUGAAGUCCAUUUGGUGGCAUUAGGCUGUUUCCCGCUCAUUAUUCGGGUUGUUGUCUCUUUGACACAUUCCCCAUUUCAAUUCUCAACUUUAUAUUACUGAUUUUGCAUGUCUGUACCAUCCCCACCCCUACUUGCAUAUGUUCAAAUAUCUGGUAAAUGGUUAAGAUCCCUAUCAUUAAGCCAUUUACAAUGUAUAGUCCUGUUCGUUUUGUCACGAAGAUUUUAAUGUAAACGUGAGAUCCGUCCCCAGGGGUCAUUAGUUGCAUAUUACUUUAAUGGACCAAACCGUUUUUUACUAGACUUGCCC
rnacentral:lncRNA from 1 species